rnacentral:rRNA from 1 species
GGAAUAUUGCGCAAUGGAGGAAACUCUGACGCAGUGACGCCGCGUAUAGGAAGAAGGUUUUCGGAUUGUAAACUAUUGUCGUGAGGGAAGAAAUUGACAGUACCUCAGGAUGAAGCUCCGGCUAACUAUGUGCCAGCCGCCGCGGUAAUACGUAGGGGGCAAGCGUUAUCCGGAUUUACUGGGUGUAAAGGGAGCGUAGACGGCCAGACAAGUCAGAAGUGAAAGCCCAGGGCUAAACCCUGGGACUGCUUUUGAAACUGCCGGGCUGGAGUGCAGGAGAGGUAAGCGGAAUUCCUAGUGUAGCGGUGAAAUGCGUAGAUAUUAGGAGGAACACCAGUGGCGAAGGCGGCUUACUGGACUGUAACUGACGUUGAGGCUCGAAAGCGUGGGGAGCAAACAG